GUCCCAGAUGCUCAACGGAUGAGCGGCCGCCUCUAAAACGGCUGUAGCGGGUUCGACUCCUGCCUGGGGCACC
rnacentral:tRNA from 1 species